UUCGAAUUAGCCAUGCAAGUCAGGGAGUCCUUGUGACUACCGGCAGAAUGCUCAGUAACACGUCGAUAACCUAACCUAUAGUCGGUGAUAGUCUCGGGAAACUGAGUUUAACAACCGAUAGAUAAUUUAUUCUGUAAUGAUUUAUUAUUGAAACUCGUGCUAUAGGAUGGGUCGGCGGUGGAUUAGGCUGUUGGCGGGGUAAUGGCCCACCAAACCAAAGAUCCAUAGGGGCCUCGAGAGAGGGAGCCCCGAGAAGGACACUGAGAUACUGGUCCUAGCCCUACGGGGUGCAGCAGGCGCGGAACCUUUACAAUGCACGAAAGUGUGAUAAGGGAACCCAAAGUGCUUAUGUUUUGCAUAAGCUUUUGCCAAAGUUAAAUCCUUUGGCGAAUAAGUGGUGGGCAAGACUGGUGCCAGCCGCCGCGGUAACACCAGCGCCACAAGUGGCAACUGUGAUUAUUGGGCCUAAAGCGUUCGUAGCCUGUUUAAUAAAUCUUUUGUGAAAUUGUUUAGCUUAACUAAACAACGUGCAUAAGACACUGUUAAACUUGAGACCGGGAGGAGCUAGGAGUAUUCCAAGGGGAGCGGUAAAAUGCUAUAAUCCUUGGAAGACUACCUGUGGCGAAGGCGCCUAGCUAGAACGGGUCUGACGGUGAGGGACGAAGGCCGGGGUAGCGAUCCGGAUUAGAUACCCGAGUAGUCCCGGCAGUAAACUCUGUGAGUUAGGUGUUGCAUAUCUUUCGUGGAUGUGCAGUAUCGAAGCGAAGGCGUUAAACUCACCGCCUGGGAAGUACGGUCGCAAGACUGAAACUUAAAGGAAUUGGCGGGGGAGCACCACCAGGGGUGCGGCGUGCGGUUUAAUCUAACUUAACACAGAAAAUUUCACCAGAGGCGACGGCAAAAUGAAGGUCAGGCUAAAUGUCUUACCUGAUGAGCCGAGAGGUAGUGCAUGGCCGUCGUCAGCUCGUGCCGUAAGGUGUCCUGUUAAGUCAGGCAACGAGCGAGACCUGUAUUUACAAUUGCUAACUGCUUUUAGGACAGAGCACAUUGUAGAGACUGCCCGUGAAAACGGGAGGAAGGUGCAGGCAACGGUAGGUCUGUAUGCUCCGAAUCCUCUGGGCUACACGCGCGCAACAAAGGUGGGGACAAUGGGAUGCAACUCCGAAAGGAGAAGCUAAUCCUCUAAACCCUAUCCUAGUCCAGAUUGAGGGCUGUAACUCGCCCUCAUGACGCUGGAAUCCCUAGUAAUCG
rnacentral:rRNA from 1 species